rnacentral:lncRNA from 1 species
GGGUGCUGCCUUGGUAUUUACGGAUGAGUGAUUCAAAUUUACCAAGACUCAGAGCCAAUCAUUCACAUUUGAGGCUCCCUCCUCCUCCUCCUCCUCCUCCUCAUCCUCUUCCUUCUUCUUCUUUCUUCCCUCAUUCCUUUCUUCCCUCAUUCCUUUCUUUCUUCUUUUCCUUCUUUUCCUUCUUUUCCUUCUUUUCCUUCCUUCCUUUCCUUCCUUCCUUCCUUCCUUCCUUUCUUUCUUUCUUUCUUUCUUUCUUUCUUUCUUUCUUUCUUCUUUUCCUUUCUUUCUUCCUUCUUUCUUUCUCUCUCUCUCU